rnacentral:rRNA from 1 species
UUAUUUGAAACAGGAUACAACCUCCACCACCGGGUAAACAAGGGCAGUCAAAACUAAGUGGGCCUAAAAGCAGCCACCUUUCAAAAAGCGUCAAAGCUUAUCUACUCCAACCCACAAUUUCUAAAAUACUCCCUAACCCUUCAUUCCUACUGACCCCUUUUAUAUUGUUAUAAAAAUAAUUAUGCUAGAACUAGUAACAAGAAGUCGCCCUUCUCCAUAAUGUAAGUAUAAACCAAAAUGGACCUUCCAUUGGUAAUUAACGUAAAUGCAAACCCCAUAAUAACAUAACCAGAAAACCUUAUGGCCCCCCACGUUACCCUAACACUAGAACAUUACAGGAAAGAUUAAAAGAGAAAGAAGGAACUCGGCAAAUUUUAACCCCGCCUGUUUACCAAAAACAUCGCCUCUUGAUUAAACAUAAGAGGUCCAGCCUGCCCAGUGACAAAAUUCAACGGCCGCGGUACACUAACCGUGCGAAGGUAGCAUAAUCACUUGUUCUUUAAAUAGGGACUAGUAUCAACGGCAUCACGAGGGUUAUACUGUCUCCUCUCUCUAAUCAGUGAAACUGAUCCCCCCGUGAAGAAGCGGGGAUUUAGCU